rnacentral:rRNA from 1 species
GGAGGAAGCAGGGGAUCGCAAGACCUUGCGCUUUUGGAGCGGCCGAUGCCUGAUUAGCUUGUUGGUGAGGUAAAAGCUCACCAAGGCUCCGAUCAGUAGCUGGUCUGAGAGGACGACCAGCCACACUGGGACUGAGACACGGCCCAGACUCCUACGGGAGGCAGCAGUGGGGAAUUUUGGACAACGGGGACAACCCUGGUCCAGCCAUGCCGCGUGAGUGAAGAAGGCCUUCGGGUUGUAAAGCUCUUUCAGCCGGAACGAAACGGUCACGGUUAAUACCCGUGACUACUGACGGUACCGGAAGAAGAAGCACCGGCUAACUACGUGCCAGCAGCCGCGGUAAUACGUAGGGUGCGAGCGUUAAUCGGAAUUACUGGGCGUAAAGCGUGCGCAGGCGGUUUUGUAAGUCAGAUGUGAAAUCCCCGGGCUUAACCUGGGAACUGCGUUUGAAACUACAAAGCUAG